rnacentral:rRNA from 1 species
CUUAAACAGAUUGAACAAGGGAAGAAAGUUGAUGUCUCAAAUCAAAAGCCAGGUAGAGUUGGCUGCAAGCGGAAAGAUUUGGAUCUGUCAAGGGUGGUGACAAUCCCAUUGAACAGAAGGAGAACAUUGCGAGGUCUGUCAAAGGCAUUGGGUGUAAGCUGCAUGACCUUACACUCAAGGUUC